AUGCCGGCGGACGCGAAGAUCCGGUGGGGGGAGCUCGAGGAGGACGACGGGGGCGACCUCGACUUCCUUCUCCCGCCGCGGGUGGUCAUCGGGCCCGACGAGAACGGCUUCAAGAAGACGAUCGAGUACCGCUUCGACGACGACGGCAACAAGGUCAAGGUCACCACCACCACCCGCGUCCGCAAGCUCGCCCGCGCGCGCCUCUCCAAGGCCGCCGUCGAGCGCCGCAACUGGGCCAAGUUCGGCGACGCCGCCAGCGGCGACGACGCCUCCGCGCGCCUCACCGUCGUCUCCACCGAGGAGAUCCUCCUCGAGCGCCCGCGCGCCCCAGGGAGCAAAGCUGAUGAACCAAGUGCUUCUGGUGACCCACUGGCAAUGGCAAGCAAGGGAGGUGCUGUUCUCAUGGUUUGCAGAACCUGUGGUAAGAAGGGUGACCACUGGACCUCAAAGUGCCCCUACAAGGACCUCGCUCCACCAACUGAUGCAUCGGACAUGCCUCCUACUUCUGACGGCCCUGCAGCACUGAGUGGCCCUGCCAAGGGCUCAUACGUUGCUCCAAGGCUGAGGGCUGGUGCUGUUCAUACCGAUGCUGGGCACGACAUGAGGCGCAGGAACGAUGAGAACUCUGUCCGUGUUACCAAUCUGUCGGAGGACACCCGCGAGCCCGACCUCCUUGAGCUGUUCCGCACGUUUGGCCCGGUCAGCCGUGUCUACGUUGCGGUGGAUCAGAAGACUGGAAUGAGCAGGGGCUUUGGGUUCGUCAACUUCGUUCACAGGGAGGACGCUGAGAAGGCCAUCAGCAAGCUCAAUGGGUAUGGUUAUGAUAACCUCAUCCUCCAUGUGGAGAUGGCUGCACCUAGGCCUACUUAG
rnacentral:rRNA from 1 species